rnacentral:rRNA from 1 species
UAGCAGCCGCGGUAAUACGGAGGGUGCAAGCGUUAUCCGGAUUCACUGGGUUUAAAGGGUCCGUAGGCGGUCUUGUAAGUCAGUGGUGAAAGCCCAUCGCUCAACGGUGGAACGGCCAUUGAUACUGCAGGACUUGAAUUAUUGGGAAGUAACUAGAAUAUGUAGUGUAGCGGUGAAAUGCUUAGAGAUUACAUGGAAUACCAAUUGCGAAGGCAGGUUACUACCAAUUGAUUGACGCUGAUGGACGAAAGCGUGGGUAGCGAACAGGAUUAGAUACCCCAGUAGUCCCUGUCUCUUAUAC